UACGUAGGUGGCAAGCGUUGUCCGGAUUUACUGGGCGUAAAGGAUGCGUAGGCGGACAUUUAAGUCAGAUGUGAAAUACCCGAGCUUAACUUGGGUGCUGCAUUUGAAACUGGGUGUCUAGAGUGCAGGAGAGGUAAGUGGAAUUCCUAGUGUAGCGGUGAAAUGCGUAGAGAUGUGGAGGAACACCAGUGGCGAAGGCGGCUUUCUGGUCUGUAACUGACGCUGAGGCGCGAAAGCGUGGGGAGCAAACAGG
rnacentral:rRNA from 1 species